CUCAUAGGAUACUUAUCAAAAGCUUAAUUUUGUAUUGGGUCGGGGCAUCCUAUUAGUAAACCCAUUUGGACGGAUUUAUCAUAUUUGGAUAUUCUUGAUCGAUUUGGUCAGAUAUGUAGAUUUUUUUCAUUAUCACUAGAACAAUGCCCGUGUUGCAACGGGAUAUAA
rnacentral:rRNA from 1 species